AGGCUCGGCCCUCUCAGCCCCGAACGGGCGGGAUCCGGGCGCGGCCGAGGCGGCAGCGCUGCACCCCGGUCCGGGGCCCGCGCGACCCCCCCGGGGGCCUCUCCCACGCUCCGCGCCCCGCCCCACCCUUCCUUCCUUCCUCCCUCGCUUCUGCGCUCCUAGGAGCGCUCCGCGCCGCGGACACCCGAGCUUUGUGUGCGCCCGCGGGCCCGGCGCGCGCCUCGGGCGGCCCAACUUUGCCUCUCCCCGCCGGCUCCCGAGCGGGACUUGUGAGGCGUGGCCGGGUGGAGGAGGCGCUUGCGGGGGCGUGGGGCUCCCGGCGGGCGGGAGGCACGGUGCGAGCUGCGCUGGACAAUGAGCUGGGCAGCUCGGCGCUGCGGCCACUUUUAGCUGAGGGCGCAGGCGGGUCAGCACCUCCGCGACUCCUCGACCCCACCUGCGGGGAGAGGGCGGGAUGCCAGAGCCAGGUGUCCCGGCGCGUUAAGGGCCCUCGCGAUCAGACGUCCCUGCACCGGCGCUCACACCCUUAGUCAGCCCGGAACGUCUUUUUGCGGAGAGCCCUAGGAGCAGCCGCGAUGGCCAGCACCAGGAGUAUCGAGCUGGAGCACUUUGAGGAACGGGACAAAAGGCCGCGGCCGGGGUCGCGGAGAGGGGCCCCCAGCUCCUCCGGGGGCAGCAGCAGCUCUGGCCCCAAGGGGAACGGGCUCAUCCCCAGCCCGGCGCACAGUGCCCACUGCAGCUUCUACCGCACGCGGACCCUGCAGGCCCUCAGCUCGGAGAAGAAGGCCAAGAAGGCACGCUUCUACCGGAACGGGGACCGCUACUUCAAGGGGCUGGUGUUUGCCAUCUCCAGUGACCGCUUCCGGUCCUUCGAUGCGCUCCUCAUCGAGCUCACCCGCUCCCUGUCGGACAACGUGAACCUACCCCAGGGUGUCCGCACUAUCUAUACUAUCGACGGCAGCCGGAAGGUUACCAGCCUGGACGAGCUGCUGGAAGGUGAGAGCUACGUGUGUGCAUCCAAUGAACCAUUUCGUAAAGUCGAUUACACCAAAAAUAUUAAUCCGAACUGGUCUGUGAACAUCAAGGGUGGGACAUCCCGAGCCCUGGCUGCUGCCUCCUCUGUGAAAAGUGAAGUAAAAGAGAGUAAAGAUUUCAUCAAACCCAAGUUAGUGACUGUGAUUCGAAGUGGAGUGAAGCCUAGAAAAGCCGUGCGGAUCCUUCUGAAUAAAAAGACUGCUCAUUCCUUUGAACAAGUCUUAACAGAUAUCACCGAAGCCAUUAAACUAGACUCAGGAGUCGUCAAGAGGCUCUGCACCCUGGAUGGAAAGCAGGUUACUUGUCUGCAAGACUUUUUUGGUGAUGACGAUGUUUUUAUUGCAUGUGGACCAGAAAAAUUCCGUUAUGCCCAAGAUGACUUUGUCCUGGAUCAUAGUGAAUGCCGUGUCCUGAAGUCAUCUUAUUCUCGAUCCUCAGCUGUUAAGUAUUCUGGAUCCAAAAGCCCUGGGCCCUCUCGACGCAGCAAAUCACCAGCUUCAGUUAAUGGAACUCCCAGCAGCCAACUUUCUACUCCUAAAUCUACGAAAUCCUCCAGUUCCUCUCCAACUAGUCCAGGAAGUUUCAGAGGAUUAAAGGUUUCUGCUCACGGCAGAUCUUCUUCCAGUGUAAACGGUGGACCUGAACUUGACCGUUGCAUGAGCCCAGAAGGUGUGAAUGGAAAUAGAUGCUCUGAGUCAUCAACUCUCCUUGAGAAAUACAAAAUUGGAAAGGUCAUUGGUGAUGGCAAUUUUGCAGUAGUCAAAGAGUGUAUAGACAGGUCCACUGGAAAGGAGUUUGCCCUAAAGAUUAUAGACAAAGCCAAAUGUUGUGGAAAGGAACACCUGAUUGAGAAUGAAGUGUCAAUACUGCGCCGAGUGAAACAUCCCAAUAUCAUUAUGCUGGUCGAGGAGAUGGAAACAGCAACUGAGCUCUUUCUGGUGAUGGAAUUGGUCAAAGGUGGAGAUCUCUUUGAUGCAAUUACUUCGUCGACCAAGUACACUGAGAGAGAUGGCAGCGCCAUGGUGUACAACUUAGCCAAUGCCCUCAGGUAUCUCCAUGGCCUCAGCAUCGUGCACAGAGACAUCAAACCAGAGAAUCUCUUGGUGUGUGAAUAUCCUGAUGGAACCAAGUCUUUGAAACUGGGAGACUUUGGGCUUGCUACUGUGGUAGAAGGCCCUUUAUACACAGUCUGUGGCACACCCACUUAUGUGGCUCCAGAAAUCAUUGCUGAAACUGGCUAUGGCCUGAAGGUGGACAUUUGGGCAGCUGGCGUGAUCACAUACAUACUUCUCUGUGGAUUCCCACCAUUCCGAAGCGAGAACAAUCUUCAGGAAGAUCUCUUCGACCAGAUCUUGGCUGGGAAGCUGGAGUUUCCGGCCCCCUACUGGGAUAACAUCACGGACUCUGCCAAGGAAUUAAUCAGUCAAAUGCUUCAGGUAAAUGUUGAAGCUCGGUGUACCGCGGGACAAAUCCUGAGUCACCCCUGGGUGUCGGAUGAUGCCUCCCAGGAGAAUAACAUGCAAGCUGAGGUAACAGGUAAACUAAAACAGCACUUUAAUAAUGCGCUCCCCAAACAGAACAGCACUACCACCGGGGUCUCCGUCAUCAUGUUUGAUUUGACAGUUUGAGAGGCACCUCAGAGUUUCCUUCUUUACCCCGCUGAGACAGUGGGAGAGCCCGAAGCAGAAUCCUGAACACGGCUCUAGAUAAGGAGGGGCAGAUUUUCUGCAGCAAGCACUGUCAAGACGGCGGCAGGCCUGGGAUGGAGCCCAUCUCUCCAGGUCCUCCCUCAGUGGAGGAGACCCCUGUGCCUGGGGAAGCAGUCCCGGCCCCCACCCCUCCGGAAUCUCCCACCCCCAACUGUCCUCCUGCUGCCACGGGUGGUGACCGGGCAGGAACCUGGCGCCGCCACCGAGACUGAGCCUCCUGCAGACGGGCAAAGCCGCCCGCUGCCACCCAGGAAGCCAGCCCUCUGCUCAGCCUCACCGGCCUCCCUGCUGCAGGCCUCUCCGUCCUCACCGCCUGCGCCUGAGUUCGCGGGUCCUCCGCAGGCCGCCUGGGAACCGGAGCCCUGCGUGCCGGAGCCUGGCCUGGUGCUCUGGGCUCUACCUUCUGGUUCCUGGAGACAUCAAAGGCUGCAUCCGUGCUGCCAACAGCUGUUUGGAGAGACUCGUUCCAGAUCAUCCCCAGUCAUUUUCAGUUUGUUGGACAUUUUACAGCUUCACCAGGAGAAUGUGCAACUUUAUUCCAGUGUUCGAUGCAUUUUUAUAGAAACACUUUGGGUGAACCAAGGCCCUUUUCCUUAUUUAAAUAGACUCAGAACGCUCCCUUUCUUUUCUUUUCUCUCUUUCUCUCUCUUUCUUUUCUUUUUUUUUUUUUUUUUUUUUUUACAAAAGACUUAGAAUUGCAUUUGUCCUUUUGUGGAUGUCCUGUGGCUAAGAGGAGUGGCUUUCUAAUGGAAGAAGUGAGCGCCUGAGAGGACGAUUUGGUCUUUGGACGUGGAUUGCAGGCUUUGAGAAGCGCUCAGAUGCCCGAUGCUGCGUGCUCAGCCAUUUGGCUUGGGGCACUGGGCUCACCGGAGACAAUGCUGGGUAUUCAUUUGUACACAGAUGAUGGGAGAAGCCACUUCUUCCCUGGGCAUUAUGGGUUUCCCCCAGCUCUUCCCACACGUGUGUUAGGAAAUGCCUGUGAACCUGCCCUCUGGGUUUUUUAAUGAGAAGCUUGGCACACGCGGCACCCAGCGGCUGCUUCUCCGCAAGCCAGCGAUUUGCAGAGCAGAACAAGCUCCACACCUGAGCCCCGGUGCCUGCUUCCUCAUCUGCGUUUCAUCUGGAGCAGGGCAGGUAACCACAGGAGGAGGCGCGCCCCAGGCAGCAAGGACUGGGAGGGAAGGUGCUCCCUGGAUAUACUCUGUGAACUUUCUGGAAGGCUGCUGGCAGUUUUUCCUUUUUGUCCACCACCCUGCUCUUUUUAAUAAUUGUACAUAAUCCGUGUAUUUGUUUUACCUGCUCAUCUUCUAAACUGGUGGGCCCUAUAGUUCGUUCUCAUUGUUAGAUUUUGCCUUUUACAAGUGUACCCAACCUGCAAUAAACUUUUCCCUC